rnacentral:lncRNA from 1 species
AAAUCUGUUAUUGUCACGAUCACCAGCUGGAGUGCCCAUGAGCUCCACUGGAGGGCACUCCUUACAACUCCUUUGCCAUUCCGUCACAGACUACAUAUCCCAUAAACCGUUGCCUGGACUUAUUGUUGUGUGAUUACUUCCACCUGUGUGUCAUUAACUUGUUAAGUCUGUGUGUGUAUAUAAGGUCUGUGCUUCAGUUGUGGUUUGUCGGUCGUUGGUUCCUGUACGUGUGUUUCUGGUUUACACUCUCACCUUCUCCGUGUAGAUUAUGUUCCUGACUCCUCUAUGUGGAUUGUACCCUGGUUUGUGGAUUGGAUUAUUUGUUUUUUGUGUUUAAUAAACCCCUGUGCUUGCAUUUGGAUUCUCGCUCCUCCUUGUCCUGGCUUACAUGUUACAGAACGACUGACCAACUAUGAAUCCAGCAGCACAAAUUAUAUGUCUCCAUCAAGGAGAUCGGCCCAUCGAUGACUACGUGACGGACUUUGUUGAGCUAGCACAUUUGACUGGCAUGGACAAGUUCCUCCGAGGUCUCAGCCCUGGUUUCCCUAUCCAUCUUCUCCUCUGUGGUGGUCUUCUGCUUCGCUCUGGUGGUCUUCUACUUCACCUGCUUUGCCGUGGUGGUCUUCUGCUCUGUUCCGGUGAUCUUCUGCUCCGCCUUGGUGGUCUUCUCCACCCUGGUGGUCCUCAGUUCUGCUGGCUACGCCCUGGCUCUCUGCCCUGCCGGCUCUGCCCUGAUGCUCUUCAGCUCCGCCUGCUCCGCCUUGGUGGUCUUCAGCUCUGCUCUGGUGGUCUUCAGUUCCACCUGCUCCGCCCUGGUGGACUCUAGCUCUGCUCUGGCGGUCUUCUGCUCCACCCUGGCUCCCUGGUCUGCCGGCUCUGCCCUGGCUCCCUGCUCUGUCUCAGUCUCCAGUUCCUCCAUUACAUGGACCUGGCCCUCCAUCCCUUCCCCUAUUCCGCCUCCGCUCCACCUCCCUCCUGGACUUAUGUCAGAUCUUGUUUCAGAGCGUCUGGAAGCCGCUCCUUAAGGGGGGGGGAGGGCUAUGUCACGAUCACCAGCUGGAGUGCCCAUGAGCUCCACUGGAGGGCACUCCUUACAACUCCUUUGCUAUUCUGUCACAGACUACAUAUCCCAUAAACCGUUGCCUGGACUUUUUGCUGUGUGA